rnacentral:rRNA from 1 species
UAUCAAUAAGCGGAGGAAAAGAAACUAACAAGGAUUCCCCUAGUAACUGCGAGUGAAGCGGGAAAAGCUCAAAUUUAAAAUCUGGUGGUCUUUGGCCAUCCGAGUUGUAAUUUAGAGAAGCGACUUCCGCGCUGGACCGUGCACAAGUCUCCUGGAAUGGAGCGUCAUAGAGGGUGAGAAUCCCGUCUUUGGCACGGACACGCCAGGGCUUUUGUGAUGCGCUCUCGAAGAGUCGAGUUGUUUGGGAAUGCAGCUCAAAAUGGGUGGUGAACUCCAUCUAAAGCUAAAUAUUGGCGAGAGACCGAUAGCGAACAAGUACCGUGAGGGAAAGAUGAAAAGCACUUUGGAAAGAGAGUGAAACAGUACGUGAAAUUGUUGAAAGGGAAACGCUUGAAGUCAGUCGCGUCGACCGAGACUCAGCCUUGCCUCGGCUUGGUGUACUUCUCGGCCGACGGGUCAGCAUCAAUUUUGCCCCUUGGAUAAUGGCGAGGGAAAUGUGACACCUUUACGGUGUGUUAUAGUCUCUUGUCGCAUGCAAGGGUCGGGAUUGAGGAACUCAGCACGCACCUUUGGGUGUCGGGGCUUUGCCCACGAUACGUGCUUAGGAUGUUGGCGUAAUGGCUUUAAACGACC